GAAGUUGCCCAUGUUAUUUUCG
rnacentral:miRNA from 5 species